UUGGUGGGGUAAUGGCCUACCAAGGCGACGACGGGUAGCCGGCCUGAGAGGGCGACCGGCCACACUGGGACUGAGACACGGCCCAGACUCCUACGGGAGGCAGCAGUGGGGAAUAUUGCGCAAUGGGCGAAAGCCUGACGCAGCGACGCCGCGUGAGGGAUGAAGGCCUUCGGGUUGUAAACCUCUUUCAGCAGGGAAGAAGCGAAAGUGACGGUACCUGCAGAAGAAGCCCCGGCCAACUACGUGCCAGCAGCCGCGGUAAUACGUAGGGGGCAAGCGUUGUCCGGAUUCAUUGGGCGUAAAGAGCUCGUAGGCGGUUCAGUAAGUCAGGUGUGAAGUCUCCGCGCUCAACGCGGAGCGGCCACCUGAUACUGCUGUGACUCGAGUCCGGUAGGGGAGUGUGGAAUUCCCGGUGUAGCGGUGAAAUGCGCAGAUAUCGGGAGGAACACCAGUGGCGAAGGCGGCACUCUGGGCCGUGACUGACGCUGAGGAGCGAAAGCGUGGGUAGCAAACAGGAUUAGAUACCCUGGUAGUCCACGCCGUAAACGUUGGGCACUAGGUGUGGGUCUCUAUCGACGGGAUCCGUGCCGUAGCUAACGCAUUAAGUGCCCCGCCUGGGGAGUACGG
rnacentral:rRNA from 1 species